rnacentral:rRNA from 1 species
UACGUAGGGUGCAAGCGUUGUCCGGAAUCAUUGGGCGUAAAGAGCGUGUAGGCGGUCCGGUAAGUCCGUUGUGAAAGUCAGGGGCUCAACCCUUGAAUGCCGGCGGAUACUGUCGGGCUAGAGUCCGGAAGAGGCGAGUGGAAUUCCCGGUGUAGCGGUGAAAUGCGCAGAUAUCGGGAGGAACACCUAUGGCGAAGGCAGCUCGCUGGGACGGUACUGACGCUGAGACGCGAAAGCGUGGGGAGCAAACAGG